rnacentral:rRNA from 1 species
UACGAAGGGGGCUAGCGUUGCUCGGAAUCACUGGGCGUAAAGGGUGCGUAGGCGGGUCUUUAAGUCAGGGGUGAAAUCCUGGAGCUCAACUCCAGAACUGCCUUCGAUACUGGAAAGCUCGAGUCCGGGAGAGGUGAGUGGAACUGCGAGUGUAGAGGUGAAAUUCGUAGAUAUUCGCAAGACACCAGUGGCGAAGGCGGCUCACUGGCCCGGUACUGACGCUGAGGUGCGAAAGCGUGGGGAGCAAACAGG